rnacentral:lncRNA from 1 species
UCUUUAUUGAAGUUUCUCCACCUGGUGAAUCCAAGCCUCCUAAGCUGUGACUUUAGCCCCAGCGUUUCACAGAACAAAGGUCAUUCCCUCCCCAGGAAGCAUCGUGAGGACAACUCUUAAAGAAAAUUAAAACGUUUAUUCAGGUUGCUUUAUUUCUUCAGUACUUGGCACUCAGAAUAACAGAUAAUUUGAACAACAGCUGUAAUCUGCUGAGAUCUACUACGUGCCAGGACCAACGUGAAGGUAGAGCAAGCUCCUGUGACAGGAGGCGGGGCAAUGACGAGUGGCUGAAGGAAUGCAGGGAUUUGUUCCUCUCUAGCUCAAGAGAGAAAGGCUCAGGCCAUACACAGAGAAAGGAGAGCGAUGAAAACCUCCUGAGAAGGACUCAGACUUUGCUGGUGUCCAAAAUAAUGCUCAGCAAGUGGAGGAAGAGAGGUAAAAGCGUGAGUCAGCGAGUAAGGAAAGGCUGUGACCUCAGCGAGUCCACUAAAGAAGCGGUCAGGCACACGGUGGACACCCACGUCAUCAGAAGACACCGGUUUUCCAGGUGCAGGUGCAGCUCUCCCGUCCACCCAGACUCUUGCCUUGUCCUACUCUGUGCUCCUCACCCACAGUGGGGUCAUGUACUCAGGGAGGGUAGAACAUCGUGAAGCUCUGCACAGUCACACGGUGCCACCGUUAGGAAGUGACCCUGAAUGCUUUGUGGAAAUAGAAAACUAGAAGGAAUGUGACAAAGAUGAUGUAUUUGACUAUGAACUAUGUCUUAUUUAACUUCUCCCAGUUCUUUCCUACUGUAGGGCCUGUUGGAAUUAUUAUUAUUACUUUUUUGUUUUUGGGGGGCAGGGUCUCACUAUGUGCUUCAGGCUGGCCUUGAACUCAUUAUGUGCCCCAGGCUGGCCUCGAACUCACAGUGAUCCACCUGCCUCAGCCUCCCUAGUGCUGGGAUCACAGACGUGUGCCACCACUCCUGGCCUAAAAUUAUUACCCAUC